rfam:Solenopsis invicta Si_gnG.contig83489, whole genome shotgun sequence.
GAAUAAGGAUUGGCUCUGAGGAGCGGGGCGUGUCGGGCUUGGUCGGGAAGCGGGUCUGGCUGACGUGCCGGGCCUGGGCGAGGUGAACGCUCGGCGUUCUCGCGCCGAACACGGGAUCCGAGCUCGGUCCCGUGCCUUGGCCUCCCGCGGAUCUUCCUUGCUGCGAGGCUUCCGUGGCGGCGCGAGCCGUCGCGGUCGUCCUCUUUGGCCGCCAUUCAAUAUUCAACUCACAACUGGCACGGACUAGGGGAAUCCGACUGUCUAAUUAAAACAAAGCAUUGCCAUGGCCCUCGCGGGUGUUGACGCAAUGUGAUUUCUGCCCAGUGCUCUGAAUGUCAAGGUGAAGAAAUUCAAGUUAGUAAAUGACGGAAGUAGCUAUAAAUCACAGGAUAGUAUUGUGAACAAUGCGCAAGCAUUCCACUCCCCUUUCCAAAGCCU